AAGAUCUGGGGCCAAGUUUUUGAUAUAUGUGAUUUUUAGUGGAAAUUUGUGUGUGUAUGUUCUUAAGGUAGCGCGUGGGAGUUAUAUUAAUAGUGGUUUAGAGGAUAUGUGAAGUGUUUCUUCAUGGGUGUUUGCCUUGAAGUUCAUAUGAGGUUAUAAAGAUAGGCUUGAAUGACAUGUUGGGAUUUUAGUGAAGGGACGCAAUAUGCGCUAGUGAAUCUAUAGUAAGAGUUCAGAGUUAGUCAUUAAUGUGGGAAGGCAUGAUAUGCUUAGGGUGUGAACUUUAAAAAGAUAUGGAAGAUUGAAUCAUAUUGUUUAGACUAGUAUCAUGGUAUGACAUGNNNN
rnacentral:lncRNA from 1 species